rnacentral:rRNA from 1 species
CGGCGGACGGGUGAGUAACGCGUAGGAAUCUACCUAGUAGUGGGGGAUAGCCCAGAGAAAUUUGGAUUAAUACCGCAUACGCCCUACGGGGGAAAGGGGGGGAUCUUCGGACCUUUCGCUAUUAGAUGAGCCUGCGUGAGAUUAGCUAGUUGGUGGGGUAAAGGCUCACCAAGGCGACGAUCUCUAGCUGGUCUGAGAGGAUGAUCAGCCACACUGGAACUGACACACGGUCCAG